AUUGAACGCUGGCGGCAGGCCUAACACAUGCAAGUCGAGCGGAUGAAGGGAGCUUGCUCCUGGAUUCAGCGGCGGACGGGUGAGUAAUGCCUAGGAAUCUGCCUGGUAGUGGGGGAUAACGUCCGGAAACGGGCGCUAAUACCGCAUACGUCCUGAGGGAGAAAGUGGGGGAUCUUCGGACCUCACGCUAUCAGAUGAGCCUAGGUCGGAUUAGCUAGUUGGUGGGGUAAAGGCCUACCAAGGCGACGAUCCGUAACUGGUCUGAGAGGAUGAUCAGUCACCCUGGAACUGAGACACGGUCCAGACUCCUAAGGGAGGCAGCAGUGGGGAAUAUUAGACAAUGGGCGAAAGCCUGAUCCAGCCAUGCCGCGUGUGUGAAGAAGGUCUUCGGAUUGUAAAGCACUUUAAGUUGGGAGGAAGGGCAGUAAGUUAAUACCUUGCUGUUUUGACGUUACCAACAGAAUAAGCACCGGCUAACUUCGUG
rnacentral:rRNA from 1 species